UUCCUUGCCCUAUUUUCUACAUCAGAUACACGCUUGUGAUAAAAUUAUAUUGAGAGAUUGGUGACAUCUUGCAUUAGUCACAAAUUGUCGUUCUGCACCAGCGAUCUACGAACCCUCUACCCGUUGAUACUUGGAAGAUCCGUCUUCAACUUACAAAACUGGUUACCCGGCCUCCAUUAGUGUUUGGGGUGUAGUCUGUGGAGUUGCUGCUUCUGGUACAGUUGAAAAUUUGAAAUGCUUUGAUUUGCACUAUUUUUAUAUAAAAAAACCUUGAAGACAACUAACAAGCCACAUUAUAAUAAACACUUUAUUAUAAAUGUUUGUAUUCUAUGUGUUUAUCCCAUUUACUUUUAAUACUUUUGGUUCCGUUGCCCUAGAGGCCGUGGAAUUCCUGGACAUUAUUUCCAUGGGGUCCAACCGGUUAUGUUUAGGAUUUAGAAAACGAAUUUGCGGGUCAGGAUGGGUUAACUGAAACUGGACGCUAGGUCAGGACGGGCAAUUAACUAAAAAACAUAACCGGUUUUCCACAAGUCCCAAAAAAAAAGCGAAUUUCUUUUGUUCUUGUUCGUCGAUUAUUACAUCUUGAUGGUUGUACUUAAGAUGUUUUACAGAAGUUUAAUCUGAUUGAGAUGUUUUGGUGUCUUACAAAUGCUAAAUGUAUUCAUCUUUCGUCGUCAACUGUUAAGGUACUGCUUUAACUCCACUUUCUUCAACGGUGUUUCAAAAUGUAUACUAUUAACUAUAUCAUAUCAGAGUUUAUUAAUCUUGUUUGUGUUCCUUAAUUUCUAUUACAGUUGGCCCUUUUUCCACCAUGGACAUUGUCCUACAAUAUGAAGGAAGAAUAGUGUUACUUAAACAUAAAAGGAUUCAUUGUGUCGUAAGCAUAGUAGAAAUCUAACCAGGUCAAAUGCAUACUCAGAUUGUGAGUCGCUGCUUUGGGCAUCCUCGUCAACUACUUUAAUUACUGACUGUAUUGUGUUUCUUGGCUACACUCUUACAGCUGUAUCCAAGUAAUUGAGUAUAUUGUGUAAAUAUAUGCUUCAUCAUAAUUCAUAACAAGCUAUAUUAGUUUACCAUGGUAUGCCGUAUGUCUGUCUGUCUAUGUUCAAUUAUGUUCAUUCAGUACUGCAGAACGACUCGACCUUGAAGGUGCUUCUGUUGUCAUCUCUUCUCACAGGCAGGUUUUUCUUUUACCCUCAUUUUUCAUCCUUCUAGAUUUAACUGUAUUAGCUAGGUUUUUAGUUUGAAUUAUCUAAUAGCUUCCUGUUGUUAGGCUCUAAUUUUGAAGUUUGAUGUGUUCAUUUGCUUGAGUUUAUGCUGAAAAAAGAUCAUCUAUAAUACCGAAUUACAUUAAGUUGUUUUCUCACCGACUGAAAGAACUUCUAAACAUUUCACUAUUAGUAAAAAUGCAAUCUUUUUGUUGGGUUUAAUAAUUAUAAUUUGGCAUGGUACAUGGUUACUGCAAUCAAGGUUUCUCUAAUCUUGUGACCCAAAUCAGUGGCACCGGUUUACUCAACCUUAAAAAUAAGCAACAUUGACAUUCUAACUUUUAAGAAAAGAAUUUUAAGUUACAUGGAACACUUUAGAAAGGUAAUUAUUUUAGUUUUCUUGGGAUGAAGGGGGUACUCUUAAUUCCACAUACGAUGUACUCAUAGAGCACAAAAGGUAUUGGUGCAAAUGAAUAUCUAUAUUGAUUAGUGUUAUUUUCAUACAUCAUACAUGCUAUGCUUUCAUGAAAAAUAGAUUUGAUUAGUGACACAAUGCAUUUAAAUACAAAACCUCCCUUAAACUCAUUUUACAGUAGCUUCAUAGCUUCAUCUCAGUAAUUAAUAACUUAGUUCUGAAAUGAUUUUGUAGGUCCAUAUUAUCAAGCAAAUUAGUUUAUAACUAUAAAGGACCAACUCAAAUUUUUUUUGGCCCUAAGUGAAUUGCUAAAUAUUACAUUUGGAUCGACAUAACCCUAAGUCCCCAUUUUAGGGCAAUAUGAAAUGAUGUUCUUAUUUUUUGUUGUACUCUUGGUAUGAAAGUGAUCAGCUAAAACUUUCUAUUUUAUAGUAGAAGAAAGACGUUUGGACAAUUUGGUUUUGCAAAUUCUGUUGGCAUUGAAGUUAAAGGGUGGAUAUCAUGAAAACAACUUUGGAGCUAACUUUUAUGAAAGCGAAAUUCUCAACCAAAAGAACGUUUAGACUCCUUAUGUAAACAUUUGUAAUAUGUUAUUUGCUAACAUUUGGAAUAUGUUAUUUUCUAACAUUUGGAAUAUGUUUUAGA